rnacentral:rRNA from 1 species
AACGUAGGUGGCGAGCGUUAUCCGGAUUUACUGGGCGUAAAGCGCGAGCAGGCGGCUCGACCAGUCUGAUGUGAAAGCGCCCGGCUCAACCGGGCGAGGCCAUUGGAAACUAUCGAGCUGGAGGGCAGUAGAGGCAGGCGGAAUUCCGGGUGGAGUGGUGAAUGCGUAGAGAGUCCGGAGGAACACCAGAGGCGAAGGCGGCCUGCUGGGCUG